GGAUUAGCUCAGUUGGUCAGAGCGUGGUGCUAACACUGCCAAGGUUGUGGGUUCAAUCCCCAUAUGGGCCA